rnacentral:rRNA from 1 species
UUGAACGCUGGCGGCAUGCCUUACACAUGCAAGUCGAACGGUAGAGGGGCAACCCUUGAGAGUGGCGAACGGGUGAGUAAUGCAUCGGAACGUGCCCAGUCGUGGGGGAUAACGCAGCGAAAGCUGUGCUAAUACCGCAUGUGAUCUGUGGAUGAAAGCAGGGGACCGCAAGGCCUUGUGCGAUUGGAGCGGCCGAUGUCAGAUUAGCUAGUUGGUAGGGUAAAAGCCUAUCAAGGCGACGAUCUGUAGCUG